rnacentral:rRNA from 1 species
UACGUAGGGGGCAAGCGUUGUCCGGAAUCAUUGGGCGUAAGGCGCGUGUAGGCGGCUCGGUAAGUCCGCUCUGAAAGUCCAGGGCUCAACCCUGGGAUGCGGGUGGAUACUGCCGGGCUCGAGUCCGGAAGAGGCGAGUGGAAUUCCCGGUGUAGCGGUGAAAUGCGCAGAUAUCGGGAGGAACACCAAUGGCGAAGGCAGCUCGCUGGGACGUGACUGACGCUGAGACGCGAAGGCGUGGGGAGCAAACAGG